rnacentral:piRNA from 1 species
AAACAUGGACACCGCGGAUUCUGGU